CCUACGGGUGGCAGCAGUAGGGAAUCUUCCACAAUGGGCGAAAGCCUGAUGGAGCAACGCCGCGUGGGUGAAGAAGGUCUUCGGAUCGUAAAACCCUGUUGUUAGAGAAGAAAGUUCGUGAGAGUAACUGUUCACGUUUCGACGGUAUCUAACCAGAAAGCCACGGCUAACUACGUGCCAGCAGCCGCGGUAAUACGUAGGUGGCAAGCGUUAUCCGGAUUUAUUGGGCGUAAAGGGAACGCAGGCGGUUUUUUAAGUCUGAUGUGAAAGCCUUCGGCUUAACCGGAGAAGUGCAUUGGACACUGGGAGACGUGAGUGCAGAAGAGGAGAGUGGAACUCCAUGUGUAGCGGUGAAAUGCGUAGAUAUAUGGAAGAACACCAGUGGCGAAAGCGGCUCUCUGGUCUGUAACUGACGCUGAGGUUCGAAAGCGUGGGUAGCAAACAGGAUUAGAUACCCCAGUAGUC
rnacentral:rRNA from 1 species